UACGAAGGGGGCUAGCGUUGUUCGGAAUUACUGGGCGUAAAGGGCGCGUAGGCGGCUGUGCAAGUCAGGUGUGAAAGCCCUGGGCUCAACCCAGGAUGUGCACUUGAUACUGCACGGCUAGAGUGUCGGAGAGGAUGGUGGAAUUCCCAGUGUAGAGGUGAAAUUCGUAGAUAUUGGGAAGAACACCGGUGGCGAAGGCGACCAUCUGGACGACAACUGACGCUGAGGCGCGAAAAGCGUGGGGAGCAAACAGG
rnacentral:rRNA from 1 species